rnacentral:rRNA from 1 species
GACGAACGCUGGCGGCGUGCCUAAUACAUGCAAGUAGAACGCUGAAGAGAGGAGCUUGCUCUUCUUGGAUGAGUUGCGAACGGGUGAGUAACGCGUAGGUAACCUGCCUUGUAGCGGGGGAUAACUAUUGGAAACGAUAGCUAAUACCGCAUAACAAUGGAUGACACAUGUCAUUUAUUUGAAAGGGGCAAUUGCUCCACUACAAGAUGGACCUGCGUUGUAUUAGCUAGUAGGUGAGGUAACGGCUCACCUAGGCGACGAUACAUAGCCGACCUGAGAGGGUGAUCGGCCACACUGGGACUGAGACGCGGCCCAGACUCCUACGGGAGGCAGCAGUAGGGAAUCUUCGGCAAUGGGGGCAACCCUGACCGAGCAACGCCGCGUGAGUGAAGAAGGUUUUCGGAUCGUAAAGCUCGGUUGUAAGUCAAGAACGAGUGUGAGAGUGGAAAGUUCACACUGUGACGGUAGCUUACCAGAAAGGGACGGCUAACUACGUG